rnacentral:rRNA from 1 species
UACGGGAGGCAGCAGUGGGGAAUAUUGCACAAUGAGCGAAAGCUUGAUGCAGCCAUACCGCGUGUGUGAAGAAGGCCCGAGGGUUGUAAAGCACUUUCAAUUGUGAGGAAGAUAGUGUCGUUAAUAUCGGCAUUGUUUGACGUUAACUUUAGAAGAAGCACCGGCUAACUCUGUGCCAGCAGCCGCGGUAAUACAGAGGGUGCAAGCGUUAUUAUUACUGGGCGUAAAGCGCGCGUAGGCGGAUUAUUAAGUCAGUUGUGAAAGCCCUGGGCUCAACCUGGGAACUGCAUCUGAUACUGGUAGUCUAAAAUUUAAGAGAGGGAAGUGGAAUUCCAGGUGUAGCAGUGAAAUGCGUAGAUAUCUGGAGGAACAUCAGUGGCGAAGGCGACUUCCUGGCUUAAAACUGACGCUGAAGUGCGAAAGCGUGGGUAGCGAACGGGAUUAGAU